UGUGUAGGUGGCGCCGUAAGUCGGGUGUGAAAUUUCGGAGCUUAACUCCGAAACUGCAUUCGAUACUGCGGUGCUUGAGGACUGGAGAGGAGACUGGAAUUCAUGGUGUAGCAGUGAAAUGCGUAGAGAUCAUGAGGAAGACCAGUGGCGAAGGCGGGUCUCUGGACAGUUCCUGACACUGAGACACGAAGGCCAGGGAGCAACG
rnacentral:rRNA from 1 species